rnacentral:rRNA from 1 species
AUGCACGCUGGCGGCGUGCCUCAUCCCUGCAAGUCGCGCGAACAGACGAGGAGCUUGCUCCUCUGACGUUAGCGGCGGACGGGUGAGUAACACGUGGAUAACCUACCUAUAAGACUGGGAUAACUUCGGGAAACCGGAGCUAAUACCGGAUAAUAUAUUGAACCGCAUGGUUCAAUAGUGAAAGACGGUUUUGCUGUCACUUAUAGAUGGAUCCGCGCCGCAUUAGCUAGUUGGUAAGGUAACGGCUUACCAAGGCAACGAUGCGUAGCCGACCUGAGAGGGUGCUCGGCACACUGGAACUGAGACACGGUCCAGACUCCUACGGGAGGCAGCAGUAGGGAAUCUGCCGCAAUGGGCGAAAGCCUGACGGAGCAACGCCGCGUGAGUGAUGAAGGUCUGCGGAUCGUAAAACUCUGUUAUUAGGGAAGAACAAAUGUGUAAGUAACUAUGCACGUCUUGACGGUACCUAAUGAGAAAGCCACGGCUAACUACGG